rnacentral:rRNA from 1 species
AAAGAUUCAUCGGCUGCGGAUGGCCAUGCGGCGCAUUAGCUAGUCGGCGGGGUAACGGCCCACCGAGGCGACGAUGCGUAGGGGUUCUGAGAGGAAGGUCCCCCACACUGGUACUGAGACACGGACCAGACUCCUACGGGAGGCAGCAGUGAGGAAUAUUGGUCAAUGGCCGGGAGGCUGAACCAGCCAAGUCGCGUGAGGGAAGACGGCCCUACGGGUUGUAAACCUCUUUUGUCAGGGAGCAAGAGGCGGGUCGAGACCUGCUGUGAGAGUACCUGAAGAAAAAGCAUCGGCUAACUCCGUGCCAGCAGCCGCGGUAAUACGGAGGAUGCGAGCGUUAUCCGGAUUUAUUGGGUUUAAAGGGUGCGCAGGCGGAGGCACAAGUCAGCGGUAAAAUCGCGGGGCUCAACCCCGCUCCGCCGUUGAAACUGUGUCCCUUGAGUGCGCGAAGGGUAGGCGGGAUGCGUGGUGUAGCGGUGAAAUGCAUAGAUAUCACGCAGAACUCCGAUCGCGAAGGCAGCCUACCGGCGCGCAACUGACGCUCAUGCACGAAAGCGUGGGUAUCGAACAGGAUUAGAUACCCUGGUAGUCCACGCAGUAAACGAUGAAUGCUAUCUGUCCGGCCGGAAU